CCGAGGUGGGAGAUCGCAUGGGCUAGAGCGAGCCACGAUGGCGCUGCCAGCCCUGCGGCUUCACCACCCACGUGGCAGUUGCGCGGCCUGCGGAAGGCUGCAGGGACGUGUUAACUUCAGAUGGACGGUGGAAGCCUUGCUCGCGAUCUCUGAGGGGACAGGCCUUUCUGCUGCCGACUGAGAGUAGUUACGCCGGUUUCUCCAAUGGUUCUCGGCGCUGUAAACUGGGAAGACGUCUGGGCGCUGACCCAGACCAAUUGAGAGUGGUUCUCAAGGGAAACGGAGCAGACGCGGGGAAGGAAUCGCCUCCUCACAACUCCGUUCUCCAAGGGCUUUUUCAAACAGACGAACUCCAUGCGCCACCCCCAAAUCCUCACUCGCCACCUUGAGAUGUACUGAGUGAAAAGACAAAUGGUCCUGAAGGAGCAAGUUUCCACGGGCGCGGGGAAGGACAGAACCUGCGGAGACUCCAAAGUGAACAAAGGUUUUGAAGGCGUCGUAUGUAUGCGGAGCCCACUGAUGCCCACGGAAAUGAUCACGUGAACACGUCUCCUAAAUCCUUCUUUUGUAUCAUACAUCCCUGAAAAUCGUGAAGCGAUGUGGUUGAGCGGAGAGGACACAGCAUGAAGUUCAGAGGAUGCAAGUCUCUGCUGUGUUUGUCUUGGGCCAGUGGCCUGGGGCUCGGGCGGUCCGACCUCCCUGCUCCGCGUGUCCCUGGAGGCACAGGAAACGAAAAUUCUCAAGUGUUGGAUGGGCAGCUUGCCAACAGAGCAGUUGUGAACUUGAGAGGACAAGAUUUUGAAGCUGGUGUUUUCACCAUGACCGGGGAGCUUCCCCCGAGUGGCAGAAGGCAUGGUGGUUAAGAGCACAGACCCCCAAGCCAAAUCGACCGACUUUAAAACCCAGCCCCACCCAGACCCUCCUGCUGGGGCAGUGAGCCAGCUGCUCAGCUUUCCCUGCAUGCGCCCAAGAUGCAAAGAGCAGUGCGCGUCUUCCAGGGCCGCUGUGAAGAGAAGCGCAUUAUUAACGUAAAGCAUUUAGAACAUUGCCUGGUCCAGAGUGUUCGGUGUACACUGUGGUCUGUUACCACCUCAAACCCACUGCAAGGAGCAACUCCAAAGGAAGAAGAUCCUAAGUGAGCCCCAGCACUUCCUAGCACGUCUACAGAAACGGGCUCCUUGAAGCCCCUUUCACAGGUGGGAGCUUCACUUACAAACUGCCCCGAAUGACAACAAAAC
rnacentral:lncRNA from 1 species